rnacentral:rRNA from 1 species
AAUAGAUACCCGGGUAGUCCAGGGUGUAAACGCUGCGGGCUUGGUGUUGGGGGUCCUUAGUGGGCGCCCAGUGCCGGAGAGAAGUUGUUAAGCCUGCUGCUUGGGGAGUAUGUCCGCAAGGAUGAAACUUAAAGGAAUUGGCGGGGGAGCACCGCAACGGGAGGAGCGUGCGGUUCAAUUGGAUUCAACGCCGAAAAACUCACCAGGAGCGACGGAUAUAUGAAGGUCAAGCUGAUGACUUUACCUGAUUUUCCGAGAGGUGGUGCAUGGCCGUCGUCAGUUCGUACCGUAAGGCGUUCUCUUAAGUGAGAUAACGAACGAGACCCUCACCAUUAAUUGCUAGUCCUUUCUCCGGAGGGGGCGCACAUUAAUGGGACCGCUGGCGCUAAGUCAGAGGAAGGAGAGGUCAACGGUAGGUCCGUAUGCCCGAAUCCCCUGGGCAACACGCGCGCUACAAAGGGUGGGACAAUGGGCUUCGACACCGAAAGGUGAAGACAAUCCUCAAAACCCGAUCCAUAGUUCGGAUCGGGGGCUGUAACCCGCCCCGUGAAGCUGGAUUCCGUAGU